rnacentral:rRNA from 1 species
GCCCAAGAGAUCGGGAUAACACCUGGAAACAGAUGCUAAUACCGGAUAACAACAGAUGAUGCCUAUCAACUGUUUAAAAGAUGGUUCUGCUAUCACUCUUGGAUGGACCUGCGAUGCAUUAGCUAGUUGGUAGGGUAACGGCCUACCAAGGCGAUGAUGCAUAGCCGAGUUGAGAGACUGAUCGGCCACAUUGGGACUGAGACACGGCCCAAACUCCUACGGGAGGCAGCAGCC